CAGCGGAAGGCAGGUGAGCAGACUUCAGCAGGCUUUGGAAAGAAGGUUUCAGCCACAUGUUCCGGGUGUCUUCCUGCAAGGUGUUCACCUCAGUGCUGCAGGGAGCUGAGUUUGUUGGUAGUUCCUACACAGCUUGAUUUUCUUAACACUAACAGCAGUCUUCUGCCCUUCCAACAGUUUGUUUGUUUGUUUGUUUGUUUGUUUGUUUGUUUUAUAUAAAAGGCUGGGAUUACAAGUGUGAGCCACUGUGCCUAAUCUAUAAAUUGCUUUCUGAUAUAAGCUACUUUCUUUUUAAAAGUGUUUUUAGAAAAAAUAAAAAGCAUGUAAGAACACAGCUUUAAGACCAUUUUAAAAGAGAAUUUAAUCCAAUGGUUGUGAGCUGAAGUUGGUAAAGCCCACAUAAUGCUGGGUCAUGCACAUACCGAGAUACUCAACAAGGCUUUGAUGAAUAGGUGAAUCAAUGAAUGAAUGAAAUGCCUGAGGCCAUCCUGAUUCCCUCAAUGA
rnacentral:lncRNA from 1 species